UACGUAGGGUGCAAGCGUUAUCCGGAAUUAUUGGGCGUAAAGGGCUCGUAGGCGGUUUGUCACGUCAGGAGUGAAAACUCGGGGCUCAACCCCGAGCCUGCUUCUGAUACGGGCAGACUGGAGGUAUGCAGGGGAGAACGGAAUUCCUGGUGUAGCGGUGAAAUGCGCAGAUAUCAGGAAGAACACCCGUGGCGAAGGCGGUUCUCUGGGACGGUACUGACGCUGAGACGCGAAAGCGUGGGGAGCGAACAGG
rnacentral:rRNA from 1 species